rnacentral:rRNA from 1 species
GACGAACGCUGGCGGCGUGCUUAACACAUGCAAGUCGAACGGAAAGGCCCUGCUUUUGUGGGGUGCUCGAGUGGCGAACGGGUGAGUAACACGUGAGUAACCUGCCCUUGACUUUGGGAUAACUUCAGGAAACUGGGGCUAAUACCGGAUAGGAGCUCCUGCUGCAGGGGGGGGGUGGGAAAGUUUCGGCGGUUGGGGAUGGACUCGCGGCUUAUCAGCUUGUUGGUGGGGUAGUGGCUUACCAAGGCUUUGACGGGUAGCCGGCCUGAGAGGGUGACCGGCCACAUUGGGACUGAGAUACGGCCCAGACUCCUACGGGAGGCAGCAGUGGGGAAUAUUGCACAAUGGGCGGAAGCCUGAUGCAGCAACGCCGCGUGCGGGAUGACGGCCUUCGGGUUGUAAACCGCUUUCGCCUGUGACGAAGCGUGAGUGACGGUAAUGGGUAAAGAAGCACCGGCUAACUACGUG